AUUGAACGCUGGCGGCAUGCUUUACACAUGCCAGUCGAACGGCAGCGCGGGCUUCGGCCUGGCGGCGAGUGGCGAACGGGUGAGUAAUACAUCGGAACGUGCCCAGUAGUGGGGGAUAGCUCGGCGAAAGCCGGAUUAAUACCGCAUACGACCUGAGGGUGAAAGCGGGGGAUCUUCGGACCUCGCGCUAUUGGAGCGGCCGAUGGCAGAUUAGCUAGUUGGUGGGGUAAAGGCCUACCAAGGCGACGAUCUGUAGCUGGUCUGAGAGGACGACCAGCCACACUGGGACUGAGACACGGCCCAGACUCCUACGGGAGGCAGCAGUGGGGAAUUUUGGACAAUGGGCGAAAGUCUGAUCCAGCAAUGCCGCGUGUGUGAUGAAGGCCUUCGGGUUGUAAAGCACUUUUGGCGGGAACGAAAAGGACUGUGCCAAUACCACGGUUCGAUGACGGUACCCGCAGAAUAAGCACCGGCUAACUACGUG
rnacentral:rRNA from 1 species